rnacentral:lncRNA from 1 species
CAUGGAGAUGCGAAGGGAUUUUUCUUUAUUUUUUUCCUACUCAUCUACAUGACAUUAGUUAUUUUUAUUUAUAAGGUAUUAUAUUUUAUCAUUUGCUGCAUCAUAUUUUUAUGAUUAUGAUAAACUCCAAAGAUUAGGAUAAUAAUUUUAGGGCCAUGAUGAGAUCAUGCUAGUGAGACUAAAAAUCUUGAUAGCUCCAAUCUAAAAUAUUUCC